CCAGUCGGUGGAUCGAUCGACGUCCCGUCGAACCUCGCGGCCGUAAGCGCCGCUGCGCCUCUGGGCGGGGCGAGAGGGCGCUUCAGUCGUGUACUGGAGCCCACCAGGGUCGCGUCCAGCACCUCGAACGCUUCGGAGUUGCUCGUUCGCUCGGGUCUCUCUCUUUUCUCUCCAUCAACCUUUCGAAAAAGAAAAAAGACACUCCUCGUGUCUUUAGGGGCUGUGUUCUGAACUAAACUUCGAAAUAGACGCGUGAUCCUUCAACGCAUAUAUAAAAAGCGAGCGAGAAAGAGAGAAAGAGAGAGAAAGAGAGAGCCAAACGUGAGAGCUUAGUUAAUAUAGUGUUCUAUCUCCGAUUCGAGAUAUCCUUCCUUCGCUCGUAUAUACCCUGUAGUAGUAGUUCGAAACUCGAGGAUCGUACUAUUCCUGUUAGUACUAUAGUUCCAGCGACGCGGAUCAACCAGUGAUCGUUCCAACGCGGCGCGGCUUGUAUCGUCCUCGAAGACACGAGAUCGUAUCCGUACCAGGAUAUUUCUGUUUCCUUCGAAUCGCUCAAUUAAUCCGUGGAUUCAAUAUAGUUGUUCGUACUCGAUCGUUCUCGUCGGUUUGAACAUUUUAUUACGUUCGACUGUUUCGGUUCUUCGAACGGAGCCGGUCGUAUCGAUUCGAGAGGUGAUACGGGCGUACAUAGAUAGAGAUACACGCAUAGUGAGACAAGUGAGAUAUACAUUGGAGAGGUGCGUAAAAAGGGUUUCGGAAGUAUCCACGGGGAAGAGGUGUCUAUGUACGCGACCGGAGACACGGAGAGCUACCCUGGUACCUAGCGGACGACGCGGGGUGGCUUCACCAGUGAGUCUCAGCUUUACGCCCUUCUUUUCGCGAGCUGAUUCACCGUCACGCUUGCUUUCGACGCUUUACAAUAGCAUUUCGAGAGCUAGAUCUCGCGAGAGCGUAACCUCGUCCCAGGGUGGCGGGCUCCGUCAGCAGGAGGCGGCGAGCGUCGCGGAGCAUCAGCUAGUGUGGAAGAGGCGAGAUAGAUAGAUAGAUAGAUAGAUAGAUAGAUA